CCAUCUUUGAUGCUUCUUGGAGGUCAAGGGUCACUCUAAAGCUUUAGGCAGAGAGAUGGGGACUGAGAGGUGGAGGUAGGGUCACUCUAAAGGCUCAGUCAAGAUAAUGCUCACUAUGCUAUGAAACAUAUGCUACUUGUAAUUUCAAAUCUAAAUCUAAAUCUUGUCAUCAACAUGGGCCACAUGCAGAGCCCUAGAUACAGGAUAUGGUAAAUGGACAGCAUGUACAUAGUGCUCUUCUCCCGAUAGAGCAGAAUAGGGCUGAACGAUUAAUUGCAUUUGCGAUUAAAUCGCGAUAUGAUAGAACACGAUUUUCUAACCGGAACGUUCGCGAUUAAAAACGUGAUCUAAAAAAAAUAAAAAAUAAUAA